rnacentral:rRNA from 1 species
AGAAUAAGCACCGGCUAACUACGUGCCAGCAGCCGCGGUAAUACGUAGGGUGCGAGCGUUAAUCGGAAUUACUGGGCGUAAAGCGUGCGCAGGCGGUUAUAUAAGACAGAUGUGAAAUCCCCGGGCUCAACCUGGGACCUGCAUUUGUGACUGCAUAGCUAGAGUACGGCAGAGGGGGAUGGAAUUCCGCGUGUAGCAGUGAAAUGCGUAGAUAUGCGGAGGAACACCGAUGGCGAAGGCAAUCCCCUGGGCCUGUACUGACGCUCAUGCACGAAAGCGUGGGGAGCAAACAGGAUUAGAUACCCUGGUAGUCCAC